rnacentral:rRNA from 1 species
AUGUCUUCCUCCACCUCCUCCUCCUUCCAGUCGACGCUUAGCGGUGGAGUCACGGAGAAACUCUCCCGCACCAACUACAUCCUAUGGCGGACACAGAUCACUCCGCAACUACGGGGCACCGGCGUCUUCCACUACGUCGACGGCACGGCCACCGAGCCGGCCAAAACCCACACCACCAAAGAUGCUGCUCAGAAAGAAACUAAGGGGCCAAAUCCUCUCCAUCCACUUUGGGUGAAGGAGGACCAGCAGGUCCUAGGAUACCUGCUCCAAAACCUCUCCAAGGAGGUGCUCGUCACGGUGACCGCGGUC